ensembl:lncRNA
UUUUUUUUUCUUUUUAGGGCCUCACCCGUAGCAUAUGGAGGUUGCUAGGGGUCGAAUUGGAGCUGUAGCUGCAGCUUGUGGCAACGCCGGAUCCUUAACCCACUGAGCGAGACCAGGAAUCAAACUCGAAUUCUCAUGGAUACUAGUCCGGUUCCUGACCCACUGAGCCACAUGGGUUAAGAAUCUGACUGCAGUAGCUUGGGUUGCUAUGGAGGCGAGGGUUGGAUCCCCAGCCCAGGGCAGUGGGGUAAAGGAUCCAGGGUUGCCACAGCUACAGUGUAGGUCACAGCUGCAGCUUGGAUUAAAUCUCUGGCCCAGGAACUGCCAUAUGCAGUGGGUGCAGCCAUAAAAAAAGAGGAAGAGAAGAAAAGAAGUCUGAGACCCUCAUCGGCUAGGCCUUCACUUUCCUUUGCUAAGGCUGGUUCUGGGCCAGUGACCCAGAUCAGCAGCAGGGCUCUCCUAGUGUCUCUUCAGCUGACCCACGGUGAGAAAAAGAGGGGUAAGAGGAUUAUUCAACAUGGUAGCUUUGAAGCACAUACGGUAAUAGCUACAGGGAACUAUACUCGAUAUUUUGUAAUAACCUAUAAGGGAAAAAGAAUCUGAAAAAGAAUAUAUCUAUAUAAAACUUAAUUGCUGAGCUGUACACCUGAAACUAAUGUAAUAACACUGUAAAUCAACUCUACUUCAAUUCAAAAAAAUAGAGGGAGUUCUCUUGUGGCACAGUGGGUUAAGGAUCUGGCAUUGCCACUGCAGUGGCUUGGGUCACUACUGUGCUGUGAGUUCGAUCCCUGGCCUGGGAACUUCCACAUGCCAUAGGCGUGGCCAAAAAAAAAAAAACCCACGUUACCUUCGCCCAGGAGAUGGAUGCAGAAGACACAUUAAAUAACUUUUCAAGGUCCAACCGAAAGCUCAGGAAAGAGCAAACGGGGAAGUCCCUGUCUUGGCACAGCGGUAAUGAACCCGACUAGUUCCCACGAGGACUCUAGCCUUGAUCCCAGUUCGAUCCCUGGCCUCGCUCAGUGGGUUAAGGAUCCAGGGUUAUUGUGAGCUGUAGUGUAGGUCACAGACAUGGCUCAGAUCUCGCAUUGCUUCGGCUGUGGCAUAGGCCUGCAGCUUCAGCUCCACUUUGACCCCUAGUCUGAGAACUUCUGUAUGCUGUGGGUGCAACCCUAAAAAGACAAAAAUAUAAAAAAAAAGAUAGUAAAUAAAUAAAUAAAUACUUAGUUUUUCAAAGCCCAACUUAAAGCUCAGGAAAGAGCAAACAGGGGAGUUCCUGUAUUGGCUCAGCGUAAUGAACUCAACUAGUAUCCAUGGGGACACGGGUUCGAUCCCUGGUCUCGAUCAGUGGGUCGAGGAUCUGGUGUUGCUGUGAGCUGCAGUGUAGGCUGAAGACAUGGCUCAGAUCCCACAUUGCUGUGGCUGUGGUACAGGCUGGCAGCUGUAGCUCCAAUUCUACCCCUAGCCUGGGAACUUCCACAUACUGUGGGUGCGGCCCUAACAAGAAAAAAGAAAAAAAAAAAAAAAAGCAAACUGCAUCCUCAAGCCUAGUAGAGUACAAAGCACAAGGAGAGUUCUAGUGUCCAAAGGGCCUGGGUUUGAGUCCUGCAUCAACCUCGUGUUAUCUUGGGCAGGCUUGGUCACUUUUUGAGCCUCAGUCUCCUCAUCUAUUCAUUGGAAGUAACAUUAAUAUCUAUCCCCUAGGGUCCCUGCAAGAUGAAGUAAGAAAAUGCAUCUGAAGGGAGAAGCCCGGUGCCUGGCACCUCACUGCGUCUUAUCAUCCUGUCCCUCAGGGAGGAGGAGGAAUGCCUGCUCCUGGGUGACCUCCUUCUACUGAUGCGACACCUGGUAGGGAAAAGCAGUGGCUCUGGGGCCAGAAACACUCCAUAAACAUUAACUGCUGGUACUGUUAUUAUUACUAUUAAUCAUCUGGCAAUGAAUGGAGCCCUGCCUGGUAAAUUGCUUCCUCCAGGUAAUUUACACUUCCUAUUGUCACCGUAGUCUUCACUCAGUACAAUCUGAUACAGGGAUGCUUUCUAGAAAGCAGGAGCCACGCUGGGCUUCUCAGUGCCCCUGCAGUGCCCGUCCCCGGCCCUGGCAGGGAGCACCCAAGCAGCUCAGCAUGGAAGGGACUCGGAAAUCACCUGCUCUUAGUAUGCAAGGCAGAGAGCUCUCCUCCCAGCUUAUCAAGCACUUGGAUGCCUCCAGGGAUGAGAUCCUCAUUCCUUGCUGAAGGUGGACCAGUGCCCAGGGCUCUGGGGAGGCUGAGCUCCAAGGGGUGAGCAGGAGCUGAAGGGGCAGCUGCAGGAGUUGGGGCUACGGGAACUCCCGGGGCCACCCCUCACGCCCUACAGCCCCCCUUCCUCUCCCACUGAGAGUUGAUAAUAGAAGUGGUUCUAAUUAUGCUCUAAUUGCUUUCUUCCAGGCAGUUUCUUGGGAGCCAGGAAGUUCAGAGUUCAUGAAUAAAUGAAGAGGGAGGAGGUGAGAAGGGAUGUUUAUUGACUCACAAAUCUCUGUGUCCCAGGGUCGGCCCCACAAAGGCUUGGGCACGUGGCUGCGUGCAAUUUUGCCUGCGUACAUACAAACACACAAAUAUACACACCACAGCCCCCAGACUCCCUCCAAAGGACUGGAUGGGGGUAAGAGGAAGGUAACAGGAAGUGUCCUUAACUGGCUUUGGGCCUCCGUCCAACUCUACCCCAGUGAACAGCACCAUGGCCUUGGGCCAGUCUUUGUUUUCCUGGCCGUGGAACGUGAGGGUGAAGCAAAGGUCUGAGAGCCUCUUCUGAGAAAACCCAGCC